rnacentral:rRNA from 1 species
CCUACGGGUGGCUGCAGUGGGGAAUAUUGCACAAUGGGGGAAACCCUGAUGCAGCGACGCCGCGUGAGUGAAGAAGUAAUUCGUUACGUAAAGCUCUAUCAGCAGGGAAGUAAAUGACGGUACCUGAGUAAGAAGCCCCGGCUAACUACGUGCCAGCAGCCGCGGUAAUAAGUAGGGGGCAAGCGUUAUCCGGAUUUACUGGGGGUAAAGGGAGCGUAGACGGUGGGCCAAGUCUGGAGUGAAAUUCCUCAGCUUAACUGCGGAACUGCUUUGGAAACUGGGGAACUAGAGUGCGGGAGGGGGAAGCGGAAUGCCUAGUGUAGCGGUGAAAUGCGUAGAUAUUAGGAGGAACCCCGGUGGCGAAGGCGGCUUACUGGACCGUAACUGACGUUGAGGCUCGAAAGCGUGGGGAGCAAACAGGAUUAGAUACCCGGGUAGUC